GUCCUGAUAGCUUAACAUCAAAGCAUUGGUCUUGUAAACCAAAGAUUGUAGAAUAAUAUCUACUCAGAACU
rnacentral:tRNA from 1 species